AUUGAACGCUGGCUGCAUGCGUAACACAUGCAAGUCGAACGAGUGGCGGACGGGUGAGUCAUUUCUGGGAAACUGCCUGAUGGAGGGGGAUAACUACUGUAAACGGUAGCUAAUACAGCAUACCAUCAAAUGUGCCCAGAUGGUAUUGGCGUGUGUGUGGGGUAACGGCUCACCAAGGCCACGAUCCCUAGCGGGUCUGAGAGGAUGACAAGCCACACUGGAACUGCGACACGGUCCAGACUCCUACGGUAGGCAGCAGUGGGGAAUAUUGCACAAUGGGCGCAAGCCUGAUGCAGCCAUGCCGCGUGUAUGAAGAAGGGCUUCGGGUUGUAAAGUACUUUCAGCGGGGAGGCGUUACCCGCAGAAGAAGCACCGGCUAACUCCGUGCCAGCAGCCGCGGUAAUAC
rnacentral:rRNA from 1 species